rnacentral:rRNA from 1 species
UACGUAGGGUCCGAGCGUUGUCCGGAAUUAUUGGGCGUAAAGGGCUCGUAGGCGGUUUGUCGCGUCGGGAGUGAAAACUCAGGGCUUAACCCUGAGCGUGCUUCCGAUACGGGCAGACUAGAGGUAUGCAGGGGAGAACGGAAUUCCUGGUGUAGCGGUGGAAUGCGCAGAUAUCAGGAGGAACACCGGUGGCGAAGGCGGUUCUCUGGGCAUUACCUGACGCUGAGGAGCGAAAGCGUGGGGAGCGAACAGG